ACCAAGUAAAGCUCGGGCAAUUGUCUAGCACAGUGCCUGAUGCAAAGUCAAUGCUCAAUAAGUUAUUAUUAUUACUAGUAUUGAAGUGAAAAUGUACACUUCCUCCUACUUGUAAUUUUAAGUGACAAUAUAGUGUUGUCCCUUCUUCCAGGCUUUAUAUUUUUAUAGAGGUUUGAUUCGGGAGAAGGGAAAGCUCAUAAAGCAAUUUGCUUCAAUCGUGUAUUGUGAUAGUAACUUCCACUAACUAAUUACAUGUCAUUUUGAAAGUAUUUCCUCAAAUUUGUUUUGAAUAUAUAAUAUUGCCUUUGAAUUUCUUUAACUUCCCCCUUAUACUUUUACAAAAUGAGAGGCUGUGUUCUUUGUUCUAUACCACUAGUUAUUUCACAACCAAACAUGGUAACUUUUUAGAGGGAAGAGAUUAUUAUUUUCUCUGGGCAGCUAGCUGAAAAUCUCCUCACAAAAAAAGUGAAGUCUGGGGGCAAGAAUCAAUUAAAUAACAAAACAAAUCGCAUUCUUUUUGCUAUGUGGGGGACAAAAUCAUAUAUAUUUGCAGAUAUAUAAAAAUCUUAAGAAACAGUUAUGUUUUAAUUUCUGCUGUUUUGGGAAGUAAAUUUGGAUGUUUGAAAUGAAAGUUGUUUUCCCUUUAAAACUAAUGUGAUUAUCACUAGGUAGAAAGAAUAUCUCUGAUCUAAACCUCUCUCCUGAGCACCAGAUGUCCUCUUCCACAAAUGACCCUGGGCCCACUAUAUGCGGAUGCACAUGGAGCUGAACCAUAUCUAUAUAUAUAUGGUGAUUAUACAAUCUCCUCCCCUGCCCUCUUCCUCUGCACACUCUAGACCUCGCUUAGUUCAACCUCCCUGGCAUCCAUACUACAAACCGAGGAGUCAUCUUUGAGUCUUCUCUUUCUUCCUCCAAUUUGGGUCACUUAUCAAGUUCUGCCUGAUUUAACCUUGUAAUUAUGCCUCUGACAAGUCCCCUGCUUCCUUUCUUAUUCCCACUGCUUUCGGUUAGGCCUUCCUCAUCUUGCUCUCCAGCUCCCUUGCUGCCGCAGCCUCUUAACUGUAAGGCUCUGCCGUUAUCAUCCCCUGCAGAUCCUUUCCCUGAGUGACUUAUCUAAAAAGCAGAUCUGAACAUGCCACUCACCUUUAAUGGCUUCCCUUUACUUACCAGAUAAAAAUCUAAGCUCUUCAUCACAGCAUUCAAAGCCUCUGUACCUCUCUCCACUUCCUGUCCUGACUUCACAUUCCAGCCACACUUCAUUCAUUCAUUGACAAGUGCUAGCCACUGUCCUAGGCACUUGACAUACCUUGGGGAACAAAAGUAAGAUCUCCGCCCUCGUGGAGCUCAUAUGGAAGGGGGUGGGUGGUGUCAGUAAACAAUAAACUUAAUAAAAAAGCAUAUUUUAUAGGAUCUGGGGAGAGUGUAGUUUUAGAUAGGCUGGUCAAGGUUGGCUUUAUUGAAAAGGUGACGUUUGAGCAAAGACAUGAAAGGAGGUGAGAGAGUGAGCUACGUGGAUAAACAGCGGAAGAAAAUCCAGGCAGAGGGAACAGCCAGUGCAAAGCCCUAAGAUGGGAGUGUGCUUAGCACAUCAAAGAGAGGAGAGAACAGAGGGAGUAUUAGGAGAUGGGAGUGUACUUUUGGACAAAUUCUCAUCAGCCAUUGUAGUAAGCUGGGGGCUUACUUUGCGUUAAAUGGGAAGCCAGCUACCUGUGGUCACUCCCACAAGCUGUGGUGUUGAGACCUAUGUCUCUAAGCACAUGCUCCCUUCUGUUUGGAUUGUACCCUCUCUCCUGCUGAGUUGCUCCCAUAAUUCCUUUUGCCAUAUUACUUAUGGCACUUAGGUCUUGAGGAAGGGUUUGGGUUUAUUCAUCUUUGUGUCCACAGGGCUCACAGCAGGGGCACAAGCAUUCAAUGAAUGAAUGAUAAUGUUCGUUUAUAGAUUGCCUUCCAAUGUCGAGUGUUUUAUAUGUUUAUAAAUUCUUGAAACAACCCUACACAGUGGGCUUCAUUAUACCUAUCUUACAGAAGAGGAAAUGAGGUUCAAAGAGGUUUGGUAACUUAUGGGAAGUCACACAACUGGUAAGUAUCUGAGCUGGGUUUCAAACUCAGGUGUCUGGCCAAUUGCUACACUGCAUUCUUUUCCCUCCUGAGGCUUCCUCACUAGAUUAAAUGAAGGAAAUGCAGGGAAUUUAUCUCUGGUUUUGUUUCUUGCACUUGGCUUCCCUAAGCCUAAAAAAAACCCCAUACAUCAUUUCUACUGUCUAUAUAUGAAUUCAUUAAAUGUUUAAUAAAUACCUAUUGUGUGCCAGGUACUUGGAAUAUAAUACUGGACAAAACAGAUGUAGUCCCUUCCUUUGUGCAGUUUACACCAGAGCAGGGGAGACGCACGAUUGUAUAAGCAAGGGCAGUAAUCUGCAGCCAGUGCUCUGAUGCAGGAAUGACAAAGUGCCACUGAGGGAAUGCUAGCAGCUACUCCUGACCCAGCCACCCAGGCUGGAGAAAACUAUAGGAUGAGAGCAUACUUCCUGGAAUAAAAGAGUCCCCUAUAGACUUGUAUAAGGUACUAAGUAUUAUAUAAAAAUCUAAAGAAUCUUGCUUUAUUCAUUUUUUUCAACUUUGGCUAAUGUCAAUGCCCUUUUCCCAAAUUUGAUUACAAACAAUGUAUAAAGCCUAAAGCAUAAACUUUUUAACUGUUGUUUUAUACUUUUCAUUGUAUAAGUUAUUUGAUCCAUACAUUUGUAAAGACGUAAUGCAGUGGGUGUUUUAGUAGUUAAUAAAUUCCCAAACUAUGAAAUCUGAGGGCUUAUUCAAAUUGUUUUGUUCCACCGGAAUUUGGUGGUAUAUUGCAUCAUUGGCUAGAGUUUGGUAACUCGUUACAGAAUGCAAAUUUUUUUAUUAUGUCAGUAGGAAUGAAAUUUAAUAUUCACUCUCUUUUAAUUACUAUUCGGUGGAAGAAAUAAUCCAGGAAACCAUGAAAGGUGGUGUGACUGAGACAGGAAGAAGCCAGGCUGGAAAAACAGAGCCCCAUAUUCAGAAAGUAGCAUUUUCGUGCUUUCUAACUGGUGGAAAAUUAAUAGGUUGUUCUCUCCAGAUUUCCCCCUGUUUUUCAAGUGGGGAUAUUGUAUUUGUUGUAAUAACUCUAAUAUAUGACUUGAUUUUCAAAAUUAAAAAUUGAAGGAUGAAAAUAGUUACUCGGACAACUUGAAACUGGUGGUGGUGGCAACCAGGCAGUUGUUUUUAAUAAGAAAAUGAUGGGGAGGAUCAAAGACGAGCAGGGAUCAGGAUGUGGGAGUGAGUUCUCUUUAUUGUAAACUGCUUCGGAGGGAGGUGAGAGAUGGAGAUUAGAGAUGAUGAAGACCUUUUCUUUGGGCUUCUCUGAUCUAGCCAUGGAUGAUGAGAGUCCCUCUGGAUGAGCGUCAAAGAAAAGACAUGGUUAAAUGGGUAAUAAAAGAAAAAGCAAUAGCCCAUAAAUACUAAGUGUUUUAAGUUGAAAAUUUUCUCUCAAAAAAAGCUUAGCUAUUGCAGUUAUUGGCCACAGCUUGUAAAACACAAGUUUCCCCCUCAUGGAGCAGGUCCGGCAAGUCUCGGUUGUAGAGUUAGAAAUAUUGUGAGAAUCCUGAGAGUCCUGGCAAAUAUAUGCUUUGAGGCUCUAGAUCGUGCCCCAGAGGAGGAGAAAAUAUGCUGAAAAAAAUAGCCAUAAAGUACUUUUUAUGCUAAGAACAAAAAGACAGGAAAUGUUUGGGGUUUUUUUUUCUCCUAAAUAUUGUUCCAUUUUCUCCAGCUGGUGAAAUAAAAAAGACAGAUAUGUUAUCCUGCACGGUUACACAAAAACUCCACCAGCAGGCCAGUGAGAUGGUGAGAGCUGCUGUCCUUGGAACAGUAUGUGUGGCAUUCCUGCCCUCCCCUCCUACCCCCCCAAAAAACCCCUGUGCAUGUACUAUUUCUCUGAGGCUACCAAAAAUUUUUGACUUAUAACAUAGAAAUUUCUUGGUUAACAGAGUAACAAAAUCACAGAACUGUCAUCAUUACGUAUAAGGAAACCUUCCGUGUUUGCUAACUUCCUUCCAAAACAUUUUUGCCCUAAUUACAUUUUUGUUGGUGGUUUGGAGAGGCCAGGCCAACCCAAGGGAAUGAUUCCAUUCUAAUUGCAUCUUUCCUUUCCCAGGAGGUCUGUGUCCUUUUAUAUCCACCGAACUCACUUGAUUAACUGUUAUCCACUUGUUACUGAGAAAAAAAAACCACCACCCAAACAAGCCCUGCAAAAUUAACUGGAUGUUUUGUUUUUGUGUUUUUCUCCUGCAGAGAUCACAAAGCUUGUGCAAACUUUUGUCAGGCACCGGUUCUUAUCCAGGGCUCUAAGUGUGACAGAGGAAAGCGUGGCGCUGAGGAAGCAUAUGUGAAGACAGGACAAUGUGUGGAGUGCCUUGGAAGUGUGCGUGACUGUUGCUGCUGACAGCCGAGCGGGGAAAGCCACAUUUUGCUUGGUUUGUAUCAGUAGCAUCAUCUACCAUCCCUGUCAUCUUCCAUGGAAAGUGGAAAGGGGAAGUUAGAUUCCCAAGGAGAAUGUGAGUUAUCCCCCUUUUAUGAGUCCAUCAGGGAAAUUCUUUUGAAGACUAAAAGGAUGAGGCUGCAGGGUGUGGGGUGGAAUGGAGGAGGGGCACUUGAGUUAAUCACCAUGGGCCGGAAGUGGUGUUAGAAUUGGACUUCCCUCCAGCUGCCCAGGCUGUUUCAUUAGGCAGAUCUCCCAAAGGAGGGCUCACCAAGCUUGGGGAUAGGUUGGGGGAAGGGGGCAUCUGAGGAAUGGGGAGGAGGUGAUAGGAGUUAGUAGGGGAAAUUGGACAGUAGGUCUAUAGUGCUCUUCCCUCUAGCUGGACCAGCUUCUCCAGGGCUCCCUCCCUCCACUUUGCUUUGUUCAAUGCCCACCCUGUUUAAAAUGGCAACGUCCCCCACUGCGUAUUCUACCUGACACACGAUAUGUUAGCUGCGUAGCUCACCCCACCUCCUCCACUCAGUAAGCUCCAAGGGGACAGCAAUUUUUGUCUGCUGUGUUCUCUGCUUUCUUUCUGGUUCCUAAGGCAGGGCCUAGCACAACCGGGCUGCUGCCAAUAAAUUCUUGUUGACUGAAGGAGUCCUCAUACCGACCUUAUUUAAUUCUUCCACGCAGCCCCGAAAUUAAUCGAACAAUCCUUGUACCAGAACAUUUUAAAUGCAUCAUCUCCUAUCAUUCUCGCAACAGCUCUCUGAGGUUGGUGUUGUUAUAAUUACCAUUUUACAAAUAGAGAAACUGUGAGGUUCCCUAACUUGCUCAGGCUCCCGCAGCAGCUGAUAAAUGGUAGCGCUGAGGACAGAGUCCACACAGUCUGGGUCCAGGGCCUGAGUUCCAACCCUCUUUGGCCCCGAAGGCCCAUCGCAGCAACAGAUGGAGCAGGCCUGGACCCUGAAAGGUCUGAAGGUUGAGAGGAGGCCAGAGGCUGCUGCCCUCGAAGCAUCCCCUCAUCGCUUCCGUGGCCGUCAGGUGUGUCGCGGGCCAUAGAGGAGCUGCUCCGAAGCCAGCGCGGGCCUGGCAUGGGACCAUCAGCCUGCCCAGGUGGUUAAGCAGAGAAACCUCUUCUCAAACGCCCUCCCUCCAAAGUCCCUGCUGGUGCCCAACUCUAAUUUUCCGGGUAGGAAUAAGCAGCGGCCAGUGGGACGUAGGUGAGCCACCAAAAGCCCGACAGACCGAGCCGGGACGGGCAGGGGUUUCCCCAGCUCGG